rnacentral:rRNA from 1 species
CUGCUCUAGGAUCACCGUAAUGAUUAAUAGGGAGUAGUUGGGGGCAUUAGUAUUCAAUUGUCAGAGGUGAAAUUCUUGGAUUUAUUGAAGACUAACUUCUGCGAAAGCAUUUGCCAAGGAUGUUUUCAUUUAAUCAAGAACGAAAGUUAGGGGAUCGAAGACGAUCAGAUACCGUCGUAGUCUUAACCAUAAACUAUGCCGACUAGGGAUCGGACAUGUUAAUUUUUAAUGACUCG